rnacentral:rRNA from 1 species
GAUGAACGCUGGCGACGUGCCUAACACAUGCAAGUCGAACGAGAAGUUAACCGCUGAUUCCUUCGGGAUGAGGAGGUUAGCAGAAAGUGGCGAACGGGUGAGUAACGCGUGGGUAAUCUACCCUGUAAGUGGGGGAUAACCCUCCGAAAGGAGGGCUAAUACCGCAUAAUAUCUUCACUUCUAAAAGAAGAGAAGAUUAAAGAUGGCCUCUGUCUUAAGCUAUCACUUCAGGAUGAGCCUGCGUCCUAUUAGUUAGUUGGUGGGGUAAUGGCCUACCAAGACCACAAUGGGUAGCCGGUCUGAGAGGAUGUACGGCCACACUGGGACUGAGAUACGGCCCAGACUCCUACGGGAGGCAGCAGUGGGGAAUAUUGCGCAAUGGGGGAAACCCUGACGCAGCGACGCCGCGUGGAUGAUGAAGGCCUUUGGGUUGUAAAAUCCUGUUUUGGGGGAAGAAACCUUAAGGGUCCAAUAAACCCUUGAAUUGACGGUACCC